AGAGUUUGAUCCUGGCUCAGGAUGAACGCUGGCGGCGUGCCUAAUACAUGCAAGUCGAGCGGAAAGGCCUCUUCGGAGGUACUCGAGCGGCGGACGGCAGAGUAACGCGUAGGAACAUACCCCAAACUGAGGGAUAACUGCCCGAAAGGGUGGCUAAUACCGCAUGUGAUCUUCGGAUUAAAGCUUCGGCGGUUUGGGAAUGGCCUGCGUUCGAUUAGCUAGUUGGUGAGGUAAAAGGCUCACCAAGGCGACGAUCGAUAACUGGUCUGAGAGGAUGAUCAGUCUGACUGGAACUGAGACACGGUCCAGACUCCUACGGGAGGCAGCAGUAGGGAAUUUUCCACAAUGGGCGAAAGCCUGAUGGAGCAACGCCGCGUGCAGGAUGAAGGCCCUUGGGUCGUAAACUGCUUUUAUGUGAGAAGAAUAUGACGGUAACACAUGAAUAAGGGUCGGCUAACUACGUG
rnacentral:rRNA from 1 species